rnacentral:lncRNA from 1 species
CCGCCCCCGGCCCCGGAAGGAGGCUCGUUAGAUGAAUCGCCAGGCGAAGAGCCUGAAAUGCGGAGUGGAGGCGGAUGGAGGCGCUAGAGGCCGGUCACUCCUGCACUCGAGCAGCCAGGAUGCGCACCACCAGAGCAGCCUCCGUUGCCUCGCGGGGUUGGUGGUCUUCAGGGACAAGCAGNCCCACCCCAAGGGGAUCNUCGCCUUUCUGGGCUUACAGAAGANNCNCCAUGGAUGCAGGNACCAGGAAAGCUGCUUGGGAAGCUCUGUGCCGCUCAAGGCGGGUUCCUUCCCCCCUCCCUGGCAAAGGGGAAGCAGGCAAUGUCCUGGGCCCUCCCUCCCUGCGUCUCAGCCCUCUCCCGUGCGCCCAGACCCACAGGCAGGCGUGCGUCCGCUUAACUGCGCAACACGAAAGAUCGAAGGCUCUAUCCUGCACCCGCAUACCUGAUUCCAGCAUGGAAUAUGCCAGGCGCAUUAGGAGGUCAAUACUUUUCUAUGCAAAAGAGGAGAAAAUACACAGAACAGCCAUUCCUCCAGCACAAAUACAGCUGUCGGGAUCUGUACGCUGUUUGCAUAUAUUAACUUGUUUUCUAUAUUUAUGCAUUUCCUGUUGAGCCAUCCGGAGAAGCUUAGGUUAUUGGGUGGCUAUAGAAAGGAAGUCAGUCAGUAAAUAGCCUCUGGCCCUCAGCCAGGCAGACUGAACGAGGCAGCAGGUCAGCUGUAGAGGAAAGGGGACGAGAAGGCAGAAAUGCCCCCCGAUGUUCCUGCUGUGCCCCUCUCUGCCCAGGUCUCAUUGGUUUCAUCCAUCUGCUGUAGGGCAGGAAGGAAAUGUAUCGCGUUUGUUUGUUUAUAACAUUUGUACCCCGCCCUUCAUCUGGAGGUCCUAGGACCAGGGACAGCAUAUGAUAAAACAAACACGAAAAACAAAUUUAAACAUACAACCCAUCCAUCCUCCCACCCUGGCAGGACUACAUUCAAAGGAGCUAGGAGCCAAAGUCCCAGAUGAAAAGCUACGUUUUUA